rnacentral:tRNA from 1 species
UCUCUCGUGGCGCAAUUGGCUAGCGCGUUCGACUGUUAUUUCCGGCAGUGCAAUCGAGAGGUUGGUGGUUCGAGCCCACCCGAGAGAG